AUGUGUGGUUUCAGUGGAUUCAGGGUAGUGGCUGAUAUACGAAAGCACAUUUGUAAAUGCUUAUUAUGGUUUUAUGGUUUGGCAGGACACAAGAGUUCAGAGGCCAGUCACAUCAUUCACCUCUUUUUGAACCCUUUGUCUCAAAACAUCCAGGCAGAUUUUUUUUUAUUCACUAAUGAUACCCCAACGGAGCGCAUGAUUCAAGGAAGGCUUUCACCCCAUUUGAAAAGGGGAAGUCAAACCAUCUUGUCACGACCGCUUGCUGAGGGGGGAAGGAAGCGCAGAGGCAGGACAUUCUGGGAAGGGGUUUUAUUAAUAAACAAACAAUAAACACAAAUAAAGAAUGGCUAACAGCUAACA
rnacentral:lncRNA from 1 species